rnacentral:rRNA from 1 species
CCUACGGGAGGCUGCAGUGAGGAAUAUUGGUCAAUGGACGAGAGUCUGAACCAGCCAAGUAGCGUGAAGGAUGACUGCCCUAUGGGUUGUAAACUUCUUUUAUAAAGGAAUAAAACGAGGCACGUGUGCCUUUUUGCAUGUACUUUAUGAAUAAGGAUCGGCUAACUCCGUGCCAGCAGCCGCGGUAAUACGGAGGAUCCGAGCGUUAUCCGGAUUUAGUGGGUUUAAAGGGAGCGUAGAUGGGGUGUUAAGUCAGUUGUGAAAGUUUGCGGCUCAACCGUAAAAUUGCAAUUGAUACUGGCAGUCUUGAGUACAUUUGAGGUAGGCGGAAUUCGUGGUGUAGCGGUGAAAUGCUUAGAUAUCACGAAGAACCCCGAUUGCGAAGGCAGCUUACUAAACUGUGACUGACAUUGAUGCUCGAAAGUGUGGGUAUCAAACAGGAUUAGAUACCCGGGUAGUC